ensembl:lncRNA
UUAGAAUCCUACAAUCAUUUGAGCUGGGGCCUUUAAAGGUCAGCUAAUCCAACUCCCUUGCAAUGGGCAAAACACUGGGUUAGCCAGGCUUUUGUUGUUCUUUGUACAAAAACGCACUAAACAUAAGGAAGCCUUUUCCAGUAGAAUUGUUAGAAUCAUAGAAUGGCUUGGGUUGGAAGGGACCUCAAGGAUCAUCAAGCUCCAACCCUCCUGCCACAGGCAGGGCUGCCAACCUCCAUAUUGAAUACCAGACCAGGCUUCCCAGGGCCCCAUCCAACCUGGCCUUGAACGCCUCCAGGUGGUAGAAAGAUGGGCCAUAAUCUUUGGGUGAGAAGUGCUUGUGAAUUACUUCUUACAGGCAGAUUAGCAACUUGUUAGAAGGAGGAAACUUUUAAGAAAAUGCGUUGCAUCGAUUUUAAAUCGCAGAAAACAUCCACUUCCCUGUAAACUUCAUUAUUUAGAUAUUAUCUGAAAGAAAUGUCAGGCUGACUCUUCACCAAUUGUUUGCUGCUGAUUCUCCUGUUACUUAAUGGUUGUUCUGAAAGUUUUCACACCAGCUUCUCUUGAAAAUUUGUAAAUCUGGGGGCAGAUUUCAUUCAGUAGCAUCGUUUUUGUGGCAGGUACACAAAGUUGAGUGGGCUGGUCACGUGCUUUCCAUCUGUCAGCCCAUCACUGUUAAUAGGUGCUUGAAGGAAAAUUGCAGUUAUUUCGUGCAGCACUGGAUGCUGAAAGUUCAUGUGUCAGGAAAAGAGAGACAUGGAUGGAAAAUCUUUUAUAAGACUAUUUUUUUUUCAUCUACAGAUUUUUUUUUUUAAUGCUACCCUUUUAGGGUCAGUUAUCUUCUGUGAUCUUGUACUAAUUUGGACAUCCUGAUGCUCCUUGAAGAGGACAUUAUACUCGGUCUGGAUUCUGCCUACUCUGAGAUGUUGAAACUCAGGUGGAUGCUUUUCAGUGCUGUUGAAGUCCACAUGAAGGCUGGUGGAGAGCUGUGGUGCACGUUUUCCUGGCUUCAUGGAGUUACGUCUCAGGCUUUGGGGACUUCUGACUCUGCUUAUCUGCUGCAUUUGCAUCAGCAUAUCCACCCCAUCUUUCUAUAUAUAGUAUUAAAGGCAGAAAUCAAAGCACAGGACCCAUGGGAAGCGACGUUUCAAAUGUACACCAUUGCUUUUCUUCGUCAUUGUUCUGAACUGUGCACCCUCUGCUCCUGACAGUGCACCCACAACAAGAUAAGGAGUUUGAGUACAUAAGUGUCUUCUGUGGGAAGAGGAGCAACAGCUGCCCACCAAAUUGGAAGAAGAUAUAAUGAAUGCAUCUUCUCUGAAUCACAAGAAAAAGACUAUUUCAACUUAAGAGAACAUUUUAAUCUCAGUCAAAAUGGGGCAUCUUCACCAUAAGGUUGUCUGCAGUCAUGGUAUGGCUUUCCUGACUUUGCUAAUUCCUUUGGGCUUUAAUUAGAAACACUUCAGCAACACUUCCUAAAGCAUGCAAAUGUUGGGGCUCCCACUAACAGUAUUAUUAAGAUAGAGUCUUAAUUCAUUUUUCUAUGGUGGCAGUAUGUUUCUUCUUCAGUUUAUUGUGGCAAACACUGUCAUUUCCACUUCUUCCAGUGUCUGAAGCUUUCUGCUUUAAUAAAUGCACAUAUUAGAUGCUAUUCUC